rnacentral:rRNA from 1 species
UACGAAGGGGGCUAGCGUUGCUCGGAAUCACUGGGCGUAAAGGGUGCGUAGGCGGGUCUUUAAGUCCGGGGGGAAAUCCUGGAGCUCAACUCCAGAACUGCCUUUGAUACUGAAGAUCUUGAGUCCGGGAGAGGUGAGUGGAACUGCGAGUGUAGAGGUGAAAUUCGUAGAUAUUCGCAAGAACACCAGUGGCGAAGGCGGCUCACUGGCCCGAUACUGACGCUGAGGCACGAAAGCGUGGGGAGCAAACAGG